UACGUAGGGUGCAAGCGUUAUUCGGAUUUACUGGGCGUAAAGCGUGCGUAGACGGUUACAUAAGUCGGGUGUGAAAGCCCCGGGCUCAACCUGGGAAUUGCAUUCGAGACUGCGUAGCUAGGGUGCGGAAGAGGGAAGCGGAAUUUCCGGUGUAGCGGUGAAAUGCGUAGAUAUCGGAAGGAACACCAGUGGCGAAAGCGGCUUCCUGGUCCAGCACCGACGUUCAGGCACGAAAGCGUGGGGAGCAAACAGG
rnacentral:rRNA from 1 species